rnacentral:rRNA from 1 species
GCAGCCAAGUCGUGAGGCGGAGCUAAUCCCUUAAAGCCAUUCUCAGUUCGGAUUGUAGGCUGAAACUCGCCUGCAUGAAGCUGGAGUUACUAGUAAUCGCAGAUCAGAAUGCUGCGGUGAAUGCGUUCCCGGGUCUUGUACACACCGCCCGUCACACCACGGAAGUUGGGGGCGCCCGAAGCCACUUAGCUAACCCUUUUGGGAAGCGAGUGUCGAAGGUGAAAUCAAUAACUGGGGUGAAGUCGUAACAAGGUAUC